rnacentral:rRNA from 1 species
UUGGUGCCUUCGGGAACUCUGAGACAGGUGCUGCAUGGCUGUCGUCAGCUCGUGUUGUGAAAUGUUGGGUUAAGUCCCGCAACGAGCGCAACCCUUAUCCUUUGUUGCCAGCGGUUAGGCCGGGAACUCAAAGGAGACUGCCAGUGAUAAACUGGAGGAAGGUGGGGAUGACGUCAAGUCAUCAUGGCCCUUACGAGUAGGGCUACACACGUGCUACAAUGGCGCAUACAAAGAGAAGCGACCUCGCGAGAGCAAGCGGACCUCAUAAAGUGCGUCGUAGUCCGGAUUGGAGUCUGCAACUCGACUCCAUGAAGUCGGAAUCGCUAGUAAUCGUAGAUCAGAAUGCUACGGUGAAUACGUUCCCGGGUCUUGUACACACCGA